rnacentral:rRNA from 1 species
GACGAACGCUGGCGGCAUGCUUAACACAUGCAAGUCGCACGAGAACGCUCUGGCUUCGGCCGGGGCAAGUACACUGACGGACGGGUGCGUAUCGCGUAUAUAACCUGCCCUUCUAGCGCGGGACAAUCACGGGUAAACCGUGGCUAAUACCGCACUUCGUCUGGACCCCGCAUGGGGACCAGAUGAAGGCCUUCCGGCGCCUUUGGAUGGAUCUGCCUUGGAUUAACUUGUUGGUGAAGCAACAGGUCACCAAGGCAAACAUUCCUAACUGGUCUGAAAAGAACAUUAACCACCCUGGGACUGAAACACCGCCCAAAAUCCUACCGGAAGGAACCGUGGGGAAUCCUGCACAAUGGGGUCACCCCUGAAGCAACCAUGCCCCGUGGAGGAAGACACGCCUAUGGGGCGUAAACUCCUUUUCUGAAGGAAAAAACCCCUGUAUGUUCAAGGCGCGACUGUAUUUCAGGAAUAAGCAACGACUAACUCCCUGCCUACAUCCGCGGUAAUACGGAAGGUGCGAGCGUUGUCCCGAAUCACUGAGUGUAAAGGGUGUGCAGGCGGGGCAGCAGGUCAGAUGUUAAAACGCAUGGCUUAACCAUGGAGGUGCAUUCGAAACUGUUGCUCUUGAGUCCCUGAGAGGCUGUCAGAAUUCCUGAUGUAGCGGUGAAAUGCGUAGAUAUCACGAGGAACACCAGAGGCGAAAGCGGGCAGCUGGACGCGUACUGACGCUCAGGCACGAAAGCGUGGGGAGCAAACAGGAUUAGAUACCCUGGUAGUCCACGCACGUAAACGAUGAACGCUCGCCGUUGCCCCGCUCAAGGGGCAGUGUCUAAGUUAACGCGUUAAGCGUUCCACGUGGGGAGUACGAUCGCAAGCGUUGAAACUCAAAGGAAUUGAUGGGGGCCCGCACAAGCGGUGGAGCAUGUGGCUCAAUUCGAUGCAACGCGAAGAACCUUACCUAGGCUCGAACGCUAGAGGACCGUUCCUGAAAGGGAGCUUCCCCUUUGGGGCUCUUAGAGAGGUAUUGCAUGGAUGUGGUCAGCUCGUGUUGUGAGAUGUUGGUUUAAGUCCCGCAUCGAGCGUAACCCGUGUUGGUAGUUACCAUCGGGUAAUGCCGGGGACUCUAGAGAAACUGCUUGCGCAAGCGGUGAGGAAGGUGGGGAUGACGUCAAGUCAUCAUGGUCCUUACGCGUAGGGAUGCACACGUGGUCCAAUGGCCGGUACAACGGGUAGCCACCUAGUGAGAGGGAGAGAAUCCAUGAAAUCCGGUCCCAGUUGGGAUUGGAGUAUGCAACUUGACUCCUUGAAGCAGGAUUCGCUAGUAAUCGCGGAUCAGCAAUGCUGCGGUGAAUCCGUUCCUGGGCAUUGUACACACCGCCAGUCAAGCCAUCGAAGUUGAGAGCACCCGAAGUCCCUGACUCAACUCAGGCCCUGCGCCUGAUGGAGAGCGGCCGAAGGUGAGUUCAGUGAGUGGGGCU